UACGAAGGGUGCAAACGUUGCUCGGAAUUACUGGGCGUAAAGCGUGCGCAGGCGGUCUUCCAAGUCAGUGGUGAAAGCCCGGAGCUCAACUCCGGAACUGCCAUUGAAACUGUGAGACUCGAGUACGAGAGAGGUGAGUGGAAUUCCCAGUGUAGAGGUGAAAUUCGUAGAUAUUGGGAAGAACACCGGUGGCGAAGGCGGCUCACUGGCUCGUAACUGACGCUCAGGCACGACAGCGUGGGGAUCAAACAGG
rnacentral:rRNA from 1 species